GCCCGUUUGCCAGGCUCCGUUCUGCACAGCGUGAAACUAGAGCUUUUCUUUGCUCAAAACAGUUUUUCUAGCCUGAGGAGGAAACCCAGGUAGGCAAGAGGAGUUUGCCAGCCUCUACAUUGGAUGCACAGUGGAAAAAUCAUGUUAGGAACUAGGACCCUCUGACUCUCUGCUGGAUCAUGAAUGGGCAAGACAGUGUCCUUCAAUUUUGAGGUUCGAUAGUCUGGGGUUUACUAAAGGCAUGGACUUAAUUAAUACAUCCCUACACUUUCCCUGAGAAGGGGAUAAACAAAAAUAUUUUCUAGUUUGUUUCUCAGGUAGAGAAUCGAAUUGGCCAACUCAUUCCCAGACCAGCUUGGAGAAGCAGGCUGAGGUGGACACAGGACUGACUGCGCUGGGCAAGCCCCUGCUUGCCUUCUCUGGAGGCCUUCCCAACAGACGUCAUCACCCAGUGGUAAAUUAAAGGCCAGAGGGGGAAAGAAAAGGAAACAAAGAAUCAAGGAUCCAAUGUUAAGAAACCCGUGCCAGAACCUUCCACUGCAGCGCUGAACAUGGUGAGGGUUUAAGCCUCCUGCCAAGAAAAACAAAGCUGACAGCUCCACUGCAGGCCCAGAGGGAAAGUGCCAGCCUUAGGCCCCUGGUGCAGCCGGCAGAGGGGCAGGGUGGAGGCUAUGGGAGGAAGGAAGGUGGGCCAGAGCCUCUCCCCUGCAUGGGCGGCGGAUGGCAACAUGGAGUCCCCCAUCCAAGCUGUGUGUCUGCAGAGGGCAGAGAAAGCGUCCCAUUAACCUGAGCUGGUGAUAAGCCCUCCGCCCGCCUGCCUGGUUUUGCCGUUGGACGUGCCCAAAAAGUAGGAAUGAGGAACAGUAGCCGUUGGGCCCCAUGCUCUGAACCUCCUGCAUCAGCUGGUAAAACACAGAGCCAAGGUUACCGCUAGGAAGUGAAAGAGGAUGUCCAGGAACCAGUUAGGUGUGCCAGGCUGGAGUGGAGAAGGCUGGCUGGGGUCAGCUCCCGGGAAGACUGACUCACCAUGGCCUUGCCUCUGAGUCACGCAGCGUCACACUGCACCGGGUGGCCCGCACGUGGUGCAGAGAGCGCUGCUUUAUGCCAGGGACUGACAGUUGGGGGGUGGCAGGGGGGCUGGUCAGAAGGGUAAGGUGAGCCUGCCCCCGCUCUUCAUUAUCACCAUCCUCAUCCUGGUAAAAGACGAGAGCAGGCAUUCAAGGCCUCGGUCGUCCACCCUGAAGGAAACUCAUGCACGUUUAGUCUGCUCCCCACCCCAAGACCACCCAUUUCAGAGACUGGGAGUGGUGGGAGCAUGUGGCCUUUGGAGGCAGCAGACCUGGGUUCAAGUCCAGACUCCACUAGUUGAUGGUUGGUAAGCCCUGGGUGAGUCACUCCAGCUCUCUGACCUGUUUCUCCAGCUGUAAAAUACAGAUAACACACCUGCCCCACCCACCUCAUGAUACUGAAUCAAGCAUCAAAUGAUGAGAGGCAGUGACCAGGAGGCUGUCUCCCUUGGGUUCUUGUUUGGAUGGAGGUGGCAAGGACCAUCAGCGUUCUUUUUUUUUUUGGCUGCCCUGGGUCUUAGUUGCAGCAUGUGGGAUCUAGUUUCCUGACCAGGAAUUGAACCUGGGCCCCAUGCAUUGGGAGCACAAAAUCUUAGCCAGGGAAGCCCUGACGAUCAGCAUUCUUCAGGCAGCAAGUGAGGGCUUCAUGACACGGGGGCUAAUCUGGGAUAGAGUUUUGUGUGUGUCAGGAUGCUUUUGGUUGCAAGCAAUAGUAAAUAAUCAAUCCAGCUCAAAUUGGCUUACCUAACUGAAAAAUCCAGAGGUAGAUCCAGGCUGCAGGAGCAGUGUAACAGAGCUGUGGCCGUGCUUCUCAGUAAGUCUCUCAGGGAGUCUGUGUGGACUGGCCUCUAAGACAGGCUUCCUUCUAGGUAGGAAAAUGGUUGUUGGAGUCCCAGGCCACACAUUCCACCACCCCUAACAGGAGAGAGCGCUUUCCCCAGUCAUCAGAUGUCUAGGGCUUCCCUCUCUUUGGUCUAUUUUAGGCCACAUCCUUGACUCUAAAUCAGUCACUAAGGCUAGGACAAACUAUGCUGAUUGGCUUAGGCCUGGGUUAUUAUUAAACCUGAACAAGUUGCUGAAGCAGAAGGAUAAAUUAAAAUGAUUGGCUUGGGCCUGUCAGGACCUGGCCUGGAUAGGGGUAGGGGGACACUCACACAAGCCUUUUGACUGCCACAGCUGGGGAGGGAAGGAAUGGGUGCCACAAUGUCCACGACAGGCUUCUAGAAUCCACCAUCAUGGAGAACAUAGUGAUUUGCUUCGCUAGCAUCCGUCUCCCCCUUUUAAGAAUCCGCCUGCAAUGCAGGAGACCCUGGUUCAAUUCCUGGGUCAGGAAGACCCACUGGA